GUCACAUUGGUAUCACAUGUACUGCUGCAGCUCUCAGCACAAGAGCUUGAAGGAAGAGGCGACUGGCAGAAUGCCCAACUGGCACUGUUUUUAGAGGAAUUAAGCAGCUUUUGACUUAGACGGAGGAUAAUCACAGGUUCCUGGAGGAUAAUGCUGAGAGGGGAGACAUCAGAUCACACUCAGAACCGGGAGGGGACUGGAAGUGGAAUGUCACCACAAGAUACUUCAAACGCAAUAAAACAGGAAGAGCUGAAAGAAAAGCAGAGAGAACCCACACGAUCUUUUAUACAAGAAAAAGAACAAAAUAAAGCCCUGGGUAACUUUACGCAGUUCAGAACACCAUUUGGCAGUUAAGUAUGUCCUUAAUCUGCCCAAUUUGCUUAUUACAGUCAAGGUUUAAAAGAAUGAGAGCCUUGGCCAGAAAUGCUGCACUAACUUCUAUUCCUAAAGUAAACUCACAAACUGAA